rnacentral:SRP_RNA from 1 species
GCCAGACGCUCCCAGCUACUCGGGAGGCUGGGGCAGGAGGAUUACUUGACCCCAGGAGUUCUGGGCUGUACUGCACUAUGCCUAUAGGGUAUCUGCACUAAGUUUGCAUCAAUAUGGUGACCUCCUAGGAGCGGGGGACUAACACGUCACCUAAGGAGGGAUGAACCCACCCAGGUUGGAAAUGGAGCAAGUCAAAACUCCCAUGCUGAUCAAUAGUGGGAUUGUGCCUGUAAAUAACCAUUGCACUCCAGCCUGGGCAACACAGCAAGACCCUAUCUCU